GACUGGCUGAGCAGGCUCAUAUGAAGCAGAGAGAGUGUCAGACAGCCUCUGGAUGAACUUAGGAGCAGCAAGGGGAGGCAUAGUUAUUAGGAAAUAGAAAAAACAAGACACCAUCGGAACACCAUCGAAUGACUAUCAUUCGAUGGUGAAAAACAUCGGGAGGCCACCAUUUAAUGCUUAAAACACUACCAUCGAAAGGAAAACAUCGAUGGUUCGGAAACAUCGACCAUCGAUGUCCAUCCCUAGGACACAGUGCAGCAGUGUGGACUCUGAAGGAGGGGGAACUGGAGCCGACCUGUGACAGAGAGAGGAGAUUUACGAGCUGUCUACUGGGAGAGAAGCUUUCUGACACUAACUCCAGCUGACACACUGACAGGAUGAAUGACGUCACUGUUCAUCACUCUCUGUAGCUGCAUUGGGCCGACUUCAAGUCCCGAGGGCAACUGGGGGAGGACCCACUGCCACUGUGGAGUAUACCGACCUAGAGGAGCUGGCGAUGGACUGUGUGGGCUACGAGGAGGUGGGUGGGGUGUCAAGAAUGGACACGGACCUGCCUGAGAUUGUCAACCUACAUGACUUGCCCGCACAGGAAGGUGAGCUUGGUGAGUCAGAGGAGGGGCAUCUGGCGGAGGCUGAGGUGGGGGUACCUAGUGAGUCCUCCAGUGUGGGUCCUCCAAUUCCACCUGGCCAGACACACACUGGAUCCCCCACCCAACCCUCUCUCUCGGCGAUUCUCACUGAAAUUGCCAGUCACGGUGAGAGGCUGAGUCAAUUUCAGGAUGUGAUGACCCAGGAGGUAAGCAAGAUAUCUGUUCAGCUCACUGAGCAGAUUACCAGUGUUGAGCAAGGUAUGGCUCAACUCUGCCAAGGUGUGGCAGAACUCAGGCAAAGCCAAUCCGAGCUCACCUCCUCUGUACAACAAUUCUCUAGCUCAGUUGUACAAGCUCUACAGGACAUCGCUGGCCUUCUUUCCCACAGUGGCAGGGAGCCUGCAACACCUGCUCCCUCCCCUACCCCUGCCCAGAAAAAAGAUCCCACUGGGCAGGGCCCUCGAAGGGCACUUCGCAGACCUACCAGUGACCAACCACGUCAGGCAGGGCGAAAGAAGAAAAAGUAAUUUCUCUCCAGAUGCGGCAACAUUGCCCAGCACCCAUGUUUUCCAUGUUGCCUUUAUGUAUUUUGUUUGGCUUGUGUGGCCAGAAUGGGCAACUCCCUCAUGCUGAAAGGGGAUUGAUGAGUUCUCUUUUUGUUAGUAGCCUGUGAGGUUUUUUUCCUGUACACUUGAUCCAUCUUCCUCUUCCUAGCCUGUUGUGGCAGUUUGGGUUUGUGUAUUGUGGCCAGAAUCUAUCUCAGUUUGACCAACAGGAUCCUCUGGCUGGGGGGUUCACACCAGUUUUUUUUGUUGGGUUUGUUUGGCCAGUAGAUGGGGGACCUUGAGACAUAUGUAAAUUUAGAUUUAUCAUGCUUUAAAAUUACAGCCAUGUUGGCUUAUUGUAUUAUUUUCAUUUAUUAAGUAAAAAUUAUAAAAAAAAAAAAAAAGUUGUGUUCGUGUG